UGUUGUUCAGGUUUAUGCAAAAAUGUGGUCUUUCAUCGUCAUAUUUUUCUCAAGUCAACCAAUGAAAGACCACAUUUUUGCAUAAACCUGAACAAAA